GUGAGUCAUCGAAUCUUUGAACGCACCUUGCGCUCCUUGGUAUUCCGAGGAGCAUGCCUGUUUGAGCGUCGUGAAUCUCUCAACCCACAAAUUGUUUGUCCAGUUUGUGCGGCUUGGACUUGGAGGCAUUGCUGGCGAUGGUCAGCUCCUCUCAAAUGUAUUAGCUGGGCUUAGCUCGGUGGAACGGUUAGUGUGAUAAUUAUCUGCGCUGCCUACUACAUCGGAUCCCGCUUCUAAUCGUCCGCAAGGACAAUUCACUUUGAAUCUGACCUCAAAUCAGGUAGGACUACCCGCUGAACUUAA
rnacentral:rRNA from 1 species